GGACCUCCCCGCCCACGAGCGCUCCGGCCCAGCGGCCCGGCUGCCCGGCUGCCCGGCUGCCCCAUCUCUCCACGCUGGCUUCGCUCAGACCCCGCCCGGCGGCCCUGCGUGCUGAGUCUGUCUCGCCCUGGUCUGACUUUGCCUGUCGUGCUCUUUCCUCUUUCCUUACCUGCACUCCCUUCUUGCUCCUUCCGCGUUUCCUCUCCUGCUCCCCUUUCUCUGCGACCCCCUUCUUGAUACCCCUUUCUCUAGCUCACCAGUUUCUUUUUCCCGAUAGAUUCCAUCUCCCCACCCCCUGCGCUCGCUCGGAAAGGCUGGGCUUCUCGGGUCUAGGACCUAGGUGGGGGGUUUCUUCCCCACGUCGGGGACCCCGGCACUCCUGUCCCCGGUUUCAAAUCAACUUUUCCACCUCUGUCACAGGGGCAGAGUUUCAGGAGAUCCUUGCUGCCUUCUGGACCGGACCCCGAACCUUCAGUUCCAGGCCUCCUGGAAGGCAGUGCAGCAAAGGGUUUAAAAACACAGGUAGACUUUGCUUUUUGUUUUCAUUAUUUAUUUAUUUUUUGGUACUGGGAAUUGAACUCAGGGCCUUAAUACUGAGUUAUAUCCUCAGCCCUUUUUAAUUUUUUUUUUUUUAAUUUUGAGACAGGGU
rnacentral:lncRNA from 1 species